UUAAAGAUAGUUAAAGAAUUAUAAUAUUAUUUUGAAAAAAUAAAGUUAAUUAUUUAUAUUUCUUUAAA
rnacentral:tRNA from 1 species